CAGGGAGACAACAAAAUGUUUAAUAUUAUUAUUUUGUCACCUUAGGUCGAUCGGUAUCUCACGUUCUUAAUUUAUUAAGAAUUUCAUUUCCUAAGUUUUUCUAGGUCACACCCAUUAUUUUUCCUGGGCCAUUAGCUCAGGUGGUUAGAGCGCACCCCUGAUAAGGGUGAGGUCCCUGGUUCAAGUCCAGGAUGGCCCAUAUCUCUAUGUUGGGGGUAUAGCUCAGUUGGUAGAGCGCCUGCUUUGCAAGCAGGAUGUCAGCGGUUCGAGUCCGCUUACCUCCACUGAUUACCACCUCUUCCAUAUCUUUAGAAAGGAAAUUUUUUGUGUUGUGACCAAUUUCUGAACGAAUCUAGCUUCAUAAUGAAUUCAUUAAGAUGCUGGACUCAUUGAAUUAAUUUCAUUGUUUUCAGAGAACCUUGACAACUGCAUAGAUUUUUUUAAAAGACAAUAAGCAUCUUAAAGAUGCAGAUUUAUUAUUUGUGCGAAUGCAUUAAUAACAAUUCUAUUAAGCUGAUGCUUCAAUUUUUGAAGUUAUU
rnacentral:tRNA from 1 species